rnacentral:rRNA from 1 species
AUACGUAGGUGACAAGCGUUAUCCGGAUUUACUGGGCGUAAAGGGCGUGUAGGCGGUCUUGCAAGUCAGAAGUGAAAUUCCUGAGCUCAACUCGGGCGCUGCUUCUGAAACUGCAGGACUUGAGUGCUGGAGGGGAUAGCGGAAUUCCUAGUGGAGCGGUAAAAUGCGCGGUUAUUAGGAAUAACACCGGUGGCGAAGGCGGCUCGCUGGCCCUUAACUGACGCUGAGGCGCGAAGGCGUGGGGAGCAAAGGGGAUAGGAUCCCCGGGUAGUCCACGCCGUAAACGAUGGAUACUAGGUGUGGGGGUAUCGACUCCCUCUGUGCCGCAGUUAACACAAUAAGUAUUCCGCCUGGGGAGUACGGCCGCAAGGUUGAAACUCAAAGGAAUUGACGGGG